CUGGUUUGAUAAUUUCCAAGUGUUGCAUGUAGAAGCUUGGUGUCAUUCCAUCAGGUCCAAGGGACUUCUCCGGGUUCAUUUUGAAGACUGCAGAUUUAAUUUCAUCCUCUGUAACUAGAGAAGUGAGCUUCCUUUUGAUGUCCGCAGUAACUGUUACAGGAAUGCCGUCCAUCAGAGAAUAUCAAUAUAACUUCCAUUUCUCUUAUACUAUUGUGUAAAAUAAUGUUGAAUAUGAGCGUGAAUGUCUUUGGCUUUAGACAGAGACUUCCCAUGAUCGUCUUGAAGGGUUGAAAGCAUGCGUCUGAAUAACGAGUAAGAAGCUACUGACCUAAUGAUGCCCCCUUGUUUUUCUUCUCCUCCUUUGAUGUCGUUGAAGUCGCCUAUCAUCAAUCGGGGCUUGUUCUGCAGAAAUCCUGCAUACUCAAAUUCAAUUUUAUCGCACCAUUGCUUCUGUAUGUACUUUAUAACUGGGUUUCCAUAUAUAUAAGUCAACCAAAAGGUGUUGGUGCCAUCUUCUACA